rnacentral:rRNA from 1 species
UACAGAGGGUGCGAGCGUUGUCCGGAAUCACUGGGCGUAAAGGGCGCGUAGGUGGCGAGAUAAGCGUGUGGUGAAAGCCCGGGGCUCAACCCCGUGUCUGCCAUGCGGACUGUCUUGCUCGAGCGUAGUAGAGGCAGGUGGAAUUCCGGGUGUAGCGGUGGAAUGCGUAGAGAUCCGGAAGAACACCGGUGGCGAAGGCGGCCCGCUGGGCUGUUGCUGACGCUGAGGCGCGACAGCGUGGGGAGCAAACAGG